CAUGCAAGUCGAACGAUGAACCACUUCGGUGGGGAUUAGUGGCGAACGGGUGAGUAACACGUGGGCAAUCUGCCCUGCACUCUGGGACAAGCCCUGGAAACGGGGUCUAAUACCGGAUACGAGCUCCUGCCGCAUGGUGGGGGUUGGAAAGCUCCGGCGGUGCAGGAUGAGCCCGCGGCCUAUCAGCUUGUUGGUGAGGUAACGGCUCACCAAGGCGACGACGGGUAGCCGGCCUGAGAGGGCGACCGGCCACACUGGGACUGAGACACGGCCCAGACUCCUACGGGAGGCAGCAGUGGGGAAUAUUGCACAAUGGGCGCAAGCCUGAUGCAGCGACGCCGCGUGAGGGAUGACGGCCUUCGGGUUGUAAACCUCUUUCAGCAGGGAAGAAGCGCAAGUGACGGUACCUGCAGAAGAAGCGCCGGCUAACUACGUGCCAGCAGCCGCGGUAAUACGUAGGGCGCAAGCGUUGUCCGGAAUUAUUGGGCGUAAAGAGCUCGUAGGCGGCUUGUCGCGUCGGUUGUGAAAGCCCGGGGCUUAACCCCGGGUCUGCAGUCGAUACGGGCAGGCUAGAGUUCGGUAGGGGAGAUCGGAAUUCCUGGUGUAGCGGUGAAAUGCGCAGAUAUCAGGAGGAACACCGGUGGCGAAGGCGGAUCUCUGGGCCGAUACUGACGCUGAGGAGCGAAAGCGUGGGGAGCGAACAGGAUUAGAUACCCUGGUAGUCCACGCCGUAAACGGUGGGCACUAGGUGUGGGCCACAUUUCCACGUGGUCCGUGCCCGCAGCUAACGCAUUAAGUGCCCCGCCUGGGGAGUACGGCCGCAAGGCUAAAACUCAAAGGAAUUUGACGGGGG
rnacentral:rRNA from 1 species